UACGAACUGUGCGAACGUUAUUCGGAAUCACUGGGCUUAAAGGGCGCGUAGGCGGGCCGACGAGCCAGGGGUGAAAUCCUGGAGCUCAACUCCAGAACUGCCUUUGAUACUGGAGAGCUUGAGUCCGGGAGAGGUGAGUGGAACUCCGAGUGUAGAGGUGAAAUUCGUAGAUAUUCGGAAGAACACCAGUGGCGAAGGCGGCUCACUGGCCCGGUACUGACGCUGAGGUGCGAAAGCGUGGGGAGCAAACAGG
rnacentral:rRNA from 1 species